rnacentral:rRNA from 1 species
GACGAACGCUGGCGGCGUGCUUAACACAUGCAAGUCGAGCGGUAAGGCCCUUUCGGGGGUACACGAGCGGCGAACGGGUGAGUAACACGUGGGUGACCUGCCCUUAGCUCUGGGAUAAGCCUGGGAAACUGGGUCUAAUACCGGAUAUGACUCCAUGACGCAUGUUGUGGGGUGGAAAGCCUUGUGCGGCUAGGGAUGGGCCCGCGGCCUAUCAGCUUGUCGGUGGGGUGAUGGCCUACCAAGGCGACGACGGGUAGCCGGCCUGAGAGGGCGACCGGCCACACUGGGACUGAGACACGGCCCAGACUCCUACGGGAGGCAGCAGUGGGGAAUCUUGCGCAAUGGGCGAAAGCCUGACGCAGCGACGCCGCGUGAGGGAUGACGGCCUCGGUU